UGGCAUUUUGUGUGCUACACUGCACUGUGGCAGUGAACACUCAGUCAACCUAAGUGCCAUAAUGGAGUUUUACUACAAUGACAAGUGGCCAGAAAAGCCACAGAUGCAAAACAAGCGAAGCUUUCCAAAAAUGGAUAUUUUAUAGUUCUCUUCCAGCUUGGUCUUAUAAUACUUUUUCAUUAGCCAACAAUGAGAGGAAAGAAAAAGCAAGAUGGUUUCCACUUAAUUCUCUUAAGAUGCAGUCAGAAUCCAGCCAUCCUGGGAAUGUGGAAGCAGAGACCUCAUGGAGAAACCACAUGUAGGCGUGCCUGCUGACAAUCCCAGCUGAGAUGCCAGCCAACAGCCCAGACAUGUGUUAAAGUAAAUCAAAAUGAAGACCAGGCAGUUAAGCCUCAAAAAAAAAGCAAAAAGAAAAAGCAAGAUGGUUUUAAGGAUU